UACCAGCUCUCCGAGUGGUGUGGAUGUUUAUUGGGCCUAAAGCAUCCGUAGCUGGCUGGACAAGUCCCCUGUUAAAUCCACCGAUUUAAUCGUUGGUGUGCGGGGGAUACUGUUCGGCUAGGGGACGGGAGAGGCCGACGGUAUUUCCGGGGUAGGGGUGAAAUCCUAUAAUCCCGGGAAGACCACCAGCGGCGAAGGCUGUCGGCUAGAACGCGCCCGACGGUGAGGGAUGAAAGCUGGGGGAGCGAACCGGAUUAGAUACCCGGGUAGCCCCAGCUGUAAACGAUGCAGGCUAGGUGUUUGGGCGGCCACGUGCCGCUCUAGUGCCGCAAGGAAGCUGUUAAGCCUGCCGCCUGGGGAGUACGGCCGCAAGGCUGAAACUUAAAGGAAUUGGCGGGGGAGCACCACAAGGGGUGGAGCUUGCGGUUU
rnacentral:rRNA from 1 species